GAACGCUGGCGGAAUGCUUUACACAUGCAAGUCGAACGGCAGCACGGACUUCGGUCUGGUGGCGAGUGGCGAACGGGUGAGUAAUAUAUCGGAACGUGCCCAGUCGUGGGGGAUAACGUAGUGAAAAUUACGCUAAUACCGCAUACGAUCUAAGGAUGAAAGCGGGGGAUCGCAAGACCUCGCGCGGAUUGGAGCGGCCGAUAUCAGAUUAGGUAGUUGGUGAGGUAAAGGCUCACCAAGCCAACGAUCUGUAGCUGGUCUGAGAGGACGACCAGCCACACUGGAACUGAGACACGGUCCAGACUCCUACGGGAGGCAGCAGUGGGGAAUUUUGGACAAUGGACGCAAGUCUGAUCCAGCCAUUCCGCGUGCAGGACGAAGGCCUUCGGGUUGUAAACUGCUUUUGUACAGAACGAAAAGGUCUCUAUUAAUACUAGGGGCUCAUGACGGUACUGUAAGAAUAAGCACCGGCUAACUACGUG
rnacentral:rRNA from 1 species